rnacentral:rRNA from 1 species
AGUGAACGCUGGCGGUAGGCCUAACACAUGCAAGUCGAACGGCAGCACAGUAAGAGCUUGCUCUUACGGGUGGCGAGUGGCGGACGGGUGAGGAAUACAUCGGAAUCUACUUUUUCGUGGGGGAUAACGUAGGGAAACUUACGCUAAUACCGCAUACGACCUACGGGUGAAAGCAGGGGAUCUUCGGACCUUGCGCGAUUGAAUGAGCCGAUGCCGGAUUAGCUAGUUGGCGGGGUAAAGGCCCACCAAGGCGACGAUCCGUAGCUGGUCUGAGAGGAUGAUCGGCAACACUGGAACCGAGACACGGUCCAGACCCCUACGGGGGGCAGCGGUGGGAAAUAUUGACAAUGGGCGCAAGCCUGAUCCAGCCAUACCGCGUGGGUGAAGAAGGCCUUCGGGUUGUAAAGCCCUUUUGUUGGGAAAGAAAAGCAGCAGGUUAAUACCCCGCUGUUCUGACGGUACCCAAAGAAUAAGCACCGGCUAACUUCGUG